rnacentral:rRNA from 1 species
CGUAGGAGGCUAGUGUUAGUUAUCUUUAUUGGGUUUAAAGGGUAAGUAGACGGUAAAUUUAAACUCUAAACGAGUACUUUUUACUUAGAGUUAUAUGAGAGAAGGAAGAAUUUCUUGGAGUAGAGAUAAAAUUUUAGAUGAUACCAGGAGGACUGUCAACGGCGAAGGCGUCCUUCUAUGUAAUAACUGACGUUGAGAGACGAAGGCUUGGGUAGCAAACAGGAUU